CCUACGGGAGGCAGCAGUGGGGAAUAUUGGACAAUGGGCGAAAGCCUGAUCCAGCAAUGCCGCGUGAGUGAUGAAGGCCUUAGGGUUGUAAAGCUCUUUUACCAGGGAUGAUAAUGACAGUACCUGGAGAAUAAGCUCCGGCUAACUCCGUGCCAGCAGCCGCGGUAAUACGGAGGGAGCUAGCGUUGUUCGGAAUUACUGGGCGUAAAGCGUACGUAGGCGGUUAUUCAAGUCAGAGGUGAAAGCCCGGGGCUCAACCCCGGAACUGCCUUUGAAACUAGAUAGCUAGAAUCUUGGAGAGGUUAGUGGAAUUCCGAGUGUAGAGGUGAAAUUCGUAGAUAUUCGGAAGAACACCAGUGGCGAAGGCGACUAACUGGACAAGUAUUGACGCUGAGGUACGAAAGCGUGGGGAGCAAACAGGAUUAGAUACCCUGGUAGUCCACGCCGUAAACGAUGAUAACUAGUUGUUCGGGCACUUGGUGCCUGAGUGGCGCAGCUACGCAUUAAGUUAUCCGUCCGUCGGGUAGGUACGUAGUCGCGAGAAGUUAAAACUAACAAAUAGAAGUUAGUAACGGUCGUGUUAGACGUAGACCGAACGGACGACGACGAGGGAGGUUAGGGAG
rnacentral:rRNA from 1 species